GCACAUAAAGCGAGAAAUUUGCAUACGGUUUCGGCCCGUAACUUGGCGGUGAAAGUCCUUCUCUGUGUU
rnacentral:tRNA from 1 species